AGCGAACGCUGGCGGCAGGCCUAACACAUGCAAGUCGAACGAAGCCUUCGGGCUUAGUGGCGGACGGGUGAGUAACACGUGGGAACGUACCUUUUGGUUCGGAAUAACGCAGAGAAAUUUGCGCUAAUACCGGAUGAGCCCUUCGGGGGAAAGAUUGAUCGCCGAAAGAUCGGCACGCGUUGGAUUAGGUAGUUGGUGUGGUAAAGGAGAACAAAGACUACGAUCCAUAGCUGGUCUGAGAGGAUGACCAGCCACACUGGGACUGAGACACGGCCCAGACUCCUACGGGAGGCAGCAGUGGGGAAUCUUGCGCAAUGGGCGAAAGCCUGACGCAGCCAUGCCGCGUGAAUGAUGAAGGUCUUAGGAUUGUAAAAUUCUUUUACCAGGGACGAUAAUGACGGUACCUGGAGAAAAAGCCCCGGCUAACUUCGUGCCAGCCGCCGCCGUAACAC
rnacentral:rRNA from 1 species